CGCAUGAGGGCGAUCAUCCUCAGCGCCGGCCAGGGGCGCCGACUGCUUCCCCACACGGCGGAGCUUCCGAAGUGUCUGCUGGC
rnacentral:misc_RNA from 1 species